GAUGAACGCUGGCGGCGUGCCUAAUACAUGCAAGUCGAGCGAACGGACGAGAAGCUUGCUUCUCUGAUGUUAGCGGCGGACGGGUGAGUAACACGUGGAUAACCUACCUAUAAGACUGGGAUAACUUCGGGAAACCGGAGCUAAUACCGGAUAAUAUUUGGAACCGCAUGGUUCAAAAGUGAAAGACGGUCUUGCUGUCACUUAUAGAUGGAUCCGCGCUGCAUUAGCUAGUUGGUAAGGUAACGCGUUACCAAGGCAACGAUGCAUAGCCGACCUGAGAGGGUGAUCGGCCACACUGGAACUGAGACACGGUCCAGACUCCUACGGGAGGCAGCAGUAGGGAAUCUUCCGCAAUGGGCGAAAGCCUGACGGAGCAACGCCGCGUGAGUGAUGAAGGUCUUCGGAUCGUAAAACUCUGUUAUUAGGGAAGAACAUAUGUGUAAGUAACUGUGCACAUCUUGACGGUACCUAAUCAGAAAGCCACGGCUAACUACGUGCCAGCAGCCGCGGUAAUACGUAGGUGGCAAGCGUUAUCCGGAAUUAUUGGGCGUAAAGCGCGCGUAGGCGGUUUUUUAAGUCUGAUGUGAAAGCCCACGGCUCAACCGUGGAGGGUCAUUGGAAACUGGAAAACUUGAGUGCAGAAGAGGAAAGUGGAAUUCCAUGUGUAGCGGUGAAAUGCGCAGAGAUAUGGAGGAACACCAGUGGCGAAGGCGACUUUCUGGUCUGUAACUGACGCUGAUGUGCGAAAGCGUGGGGAUCAAACAGGAUUAGAUACCCUGGUAGUCCACGCCGUAAACGAUGAGUGCUAAGUGUUAGGGGGUUUCCGCCCCUUAGUGCUGCAGCUAACGCAUUAAGCACUCCGCCUGGGGAGUACGACCGCAAGGUUGAAACUCAAAGGAAUUGACGGGGACCCGCACAAGCGGUGGAGCAUGUGGUUUAAUUCGAAGCAACGCGAAGAACCUUACCAAAUCUUGACAUCCUUCGACAACUCUAGAGAUAGAGCUUUCCCCUUCGGGGGACAAAGUGACAGGUGGUGCAUGGUUGUCGUCAGCUCGUGUCGUGAGAUGUUGGGUUAAGUCCCGCAACGAGCGCAACCCUUAAGCUUAGUUGCCAUCAUUAAGUUGGGCACUCUAAGUUGACUGCCGGUGACAAACCGGAGGAAGGUGGAGAUGACGUCAAAUCAUCAUGCCCCUUAUGAUUUGGGCUACACACGUGCUACAAUGGACAAUACAAAGGGCAGCGAAACCGCGAGGUCAAGCAAAUCCCAUAAAGUUGUUCUCAGUUCGGAUUGUAGUCUGCAACUCGACUACAUGAAGCUGGAAUCGCUAGUAAUCGUAGAUCAGCAUGCUACGGUGAAUACGUUCCCGGGUCU
rnacentral:rRNA from 1 species